rnacentral:rRNA from 1 species
UACGGAGGAUCCGAGCGUUAUCCGGAUUUAUUGGGUUUAAAGGGUGCGCAGGCGGGAGAUUAAGUCGGCGGUGAAAUUUUGCAGCUCAACUGUAAAAGUGCCUUCGAAACUGGUUUCCUUGAGUGUAGAUGAAGUAGGCGGAAUUUGUGGUGUAGCGGUGAAAUGCAUAGAUAUCACGAGGAACUCCGAUUGCGCAGGCAGCUUACUAAACCAUAACUGACGCUCAGGCACGAAGGCGUGGGGAUCAAACAGGAUUAGAUACCCCGGUAGU